AUGUUGGCCGGGCCGGGGCCGUGGCUGCUCGCCUUGGCCUUGGUCUUGUGGCCGGCAGGGCUCUGGGCACAGCUGAGGCUGCAGGAGGCGGGCGGAGGGCUGCGACCGUCCGGGGACUCCGUCACCCUCUCCUGCCGAGGAUCCGGCUUCACCUUUAAGGAUUAUGGAUUUUGGUGGUACCGUCAGUCCCCCGGAGGCCGGCUGGAGUGGGUGUCCAUUAUUAGUUACAAUCCGAGAGUUUUUUAUUUUGACCAGUCAGUGCAGGGCCGGGCCAAGAUUUCCCGGGACAAUUUCCGGUCUGAGGUUUAUCUCUCCCUGCUGACCCUGCAGCCCCGCGACUCUGCCCGGUACUUCUGUGCUGUUCACACAGCAACAGGAAACCCAGCUGGGCUUUAACACAAAUCAGCUCGGGUCUGGCUCAGCACCCACGAAAUUUGGAGAUGGUGAAUUCCAAAGUGGUUCAGGGCUGUUCUUAAGAAAUGAGGUGCCGUCCCCACGCAGCACCAGUGAUCCUGGUCUUUCACCAAGAGCUCCUUUCCCAACACUGAGGCUUUCCUUCUCCUGAGUCCCAAUUGCAAUGUUCUAUUCUGUAGAGGAGGUUCAAGGUUUUUCUGUCAUCCAAUCAGCCUGGUGACUGCCUGGCUCCAGUCCCACUCAGCCUUCCUUGGUCCCCUUCUUAAGUGGAGCACGCAAAGCACCUGGGCUUUGGCAACACCUUUGCCAGCUUCCUGUGACCCUUUUGGGGCCAUCUCCUUGCACCAGUGAGAGCAAAGCAGCGAUUUAAUGGCCUGCUUUUCUUUCAGGUGCAUUUCAAGGUGAUGAGAUCCAAGCAACAAGCUGUGCAGUGUAGUGGCCAGCAGGGAGCACUGGGACCCUCCGUUCCACUUACAGCUCCAAAGCCUCCUAUAUUUACGUGGCCUGGUAUUGGCAGUGUCCUGGUGAACCCCUGCAGUACUGCUGUGGUGUCAGGGCCGUGGAAGCUCCUACAGC